rnacentral:rRNA from 1 species
GAUGGGGCUGCGUCCCAUCAGGGUAGUUGGCGGGGUAAUGGCCCGCCAAGCNUACGACGGGUAGGGGCCGUGAGAGCGGGAGCCCCCAGAUGGGCACUGAGACAAGGGCCCAGGCCCUACGGGGCGCACCAGGCGCGAAACCUCCGCAAUGCGGGCAACCGUGACGGGGCUACCCCGAGUGCCCCCCUCGUGGGGGCUUUUCCCCGCUGCAGGUAGGCGGGGGAAUAAGCGGGGGGCAAGACUGGUGUCAGCCGCCGCGGUAAUACCAGCCCCGCGAGACCAGGGUGUCCUAGGCUCAGGCUUUCCUAAGCAUCCCCUAAGGUUAGCUUACACUUGCACGAUAAGCCUGGACCCCUGGCGCGUAUGGUCGGGGUGCUUACUGGGCCUAAAGCGCCCGUAGCCGGCUCGACAAGUCCCCUCCUAAAGCCCCGGGCUCAACCCGGGGAGCGGAGGGGAUACUGUCGGGCUAGGGGGCGGGAGAGGCCGAGGGUACUCCCGGGGUAGGGGCGAAAUCCAUUAAUCCCGGGAGGACCACCAGUUGCGAAGGCGCUCGGCUGGAACGCGCCCGACGGUGAGGGGCGAAAGCCGGGGGAGCGAACCGGAUUAGAUACCCGGGUAGUCCCGGCUGUAAACGAUGCGGGCUAGGUGUUGGGCGGGCGAGAGGGCCCGCCCAGUGCCGCAGG